AGGGUUGUUUAUUCAGUUUUUUCGGGAGAAUUUUAGAGAGAGAGGAAGAGAAAUCCAGAGUUGAGUUAAGAGAAAUCCAAACUGAGGACCAAAAUCAUCAUUUUUCUAUCGAUUUUUACAUGCAAUUUUGAAUCUCGGUUAAGAUUUUCUUUCAUUGAUUUUGAUCGAAAAUCGUUGAAGCAGUUCCAGUGACUGAAAGCUGAAGAUUUUGUAUAUUCUUUGAAGUUCAGAAGAUUUUGAUCUGCUUCAUUAUUUUGAUUUUGAUCGGAAGAUUUUGAUCUGCUUCAUGAUUUGAAUUACUUCAACUCAACUGAAAGUUCUUUGUUUGAAGAUCUACUUCGUUUUUUAUUUCAACUGAGUAAUGUUAUAAGCUUGAUUUAUUAUUUGAUUUGAUUGAAUCAUCGAUUGGAGAAAUCUUACGAAGCUUGAUUCAGUAUUUUCAGAGAUCAAACGAUUUGAUUUCUUCUCAUUAUUCAAGUUUCAUCAUGUUAACAGUUUGCUCCAGGUCUAUAAUUUUGUUUGGGUGUUGGGAUAAUGCAUGGUGAUUUUUCCGUGAAAUCAGAUGUUUUUAGGUUUGGUGUCUUAGUUUUAGAGAUUCUUAGUGGACACUGGAACAACUCUUUUCAUUGAUCAGAUAUUGCUCGGGACCUUCUAAGCUAUGCAUGGAGACAGUGGAAUAACGGAACUGCGGUAGAUAUAUUAAAUCAAGCUUUAAAAGACACAUGUUCAGGAAGUGAAGUGAUGAGAUGCAUCCAUGUCGUAUUAUUAUGUGUUCAAGAGACAGUUGCAGAUAGACUCACAAUGAGCAUUGUUGUUCAAAUGCUUAACAACUCAGUUACAAGUCAUGAUUACUUACCUUCAUCACUUGCAUUUUUGGUUGAUAGUACGCGACAUAUAUAGCCCCAUCUGAACUUAUAUCCAAACAGAAGUGAAGAACUAGGAAGCUCGAGGAACGAGUCGAUCAGUGAAAGCGUAAGGUGGACCGUGAAUGAAGUUUCAGUUACUGAACUUUACCCUCGAUGAGGACAUUACUACUUUCUAAGAGUCUCUUUCCCAAGUUGAAUGGCACUCUUUCUCCUUUUCCUAUUCUUUUUUUCCUUUUUUUUUUG